rnacentral:misc_RNA from 1 species
AAGUCGUAACAAGGUCUCCGUAGGUGAACCUGCGGAGGGAUCAUUUGAGAUUGAAACAUACUAUGUGUAUAUCACACACGUGAUUGGAUGGUAUUGGCUGUGCGAUACGGCCUGUGGUCGUGGUGUGGCGUGCUUGAGAGAGCGCGACGCCCGGCCAGCGAGUGUGAAGGACACGUGAUGCUGGGGGAGAAGAGUAGGAGAGAACGGGUCACAUGAGUAUUGUACCGAAAUGAUACAACUUUUGGCAAUGGAUCUCUUGGUUCUC